GCUCAGCUGGUAGAGCAGAGGACUGAAAAUCCUCG
rnacentral:tRNA from 1 species